rnacentral:rRNA from 1 species
UUCGCCCUUAGAGUUUGAUCCUGGCUCAGGACGAACGCUGGCGGCGUGCCUAACACAUGCAAGUCGAGCGAAUGAAGUUCCUUCGGGAACGGAUUUAGCGGCGGACGGGUGAGUAACACGUGGGCAACCUGCCUCAUAGAGGGGAAUAGCCUUCCGAAAGGGAGAUUAAUACCGCAUAAGAUUGUAGUACCGCAUGGUACAGCAAUUAAAGGAGCAAUCCGCUAUGAGAUGGGCCCGCGGCGCAUUAGCUAGUUGGUGAGGUAACGGCUCACCAAGGCGACGAUGCGUAGCCGACCUGAGAGGUCGAACGGCCACAUUGGGACUGAGAUACGGCCCAGACUCCUACGGGAGGCAGCAGUGGGGAAUAUUGGGCAAUGGGGGAAACCCUGACCCAGCGACGCCGCGUGAAGGACGAAGGCUUUCGGGUUGUAAACUUCUUUGGGGAGGGACGAAAUUGACGGUACCUCCAGAACAAGCCACGGCUAACUACGUGCCAGCAGCCGCGGUAAUACGUAUGUGGCAAGCGUUAUCCGGAUUUACUGGGUGUAAAGGGCGCGCAGGCGGUUCUGAAAGUCAGAUGUGAAAGAUCAAGGCUUAACUUUGACAGGUCAUCUGAAACUUUGGGACUUGAGUAUCAGAGGGGAAAGUGGAAUUCCUGGUGGAGCGGUAAAAUGCGCAGAGAUCAGGAGGAACACCGGUGGCGAAGGCGACUUUCUGGCUGACAACUGACGCUGAGGCGCGAAAGCGUGGGGAGCAAAUAAAAUUAGAUCCCCUGGUAGUCCACGCCGUAAACGAUGAUUACUGGGUGUAGGGGGUAUCGACUCCCUCUGUGCCGCCGCUAACGCACUAAGUAUUCCGCCUGGGGAGUACGGUCGCAAGAUUAAAACUCAAAGGAAUAGACGGGGGCCCGCACAAGCAGCGGAGCAUGUGGUUUAAUUCGAAGCAACGCGAAGAACCUUACCUAGACUUGACAUCUCCUGCAUUACUCUUAAUCGAGGAAGUCCCUUCGGGGACAGGAUGACAGGUGGUGCAUGGUUGUCGUCAGCUCGUGUCGUGAGAUGUUGGGUUAAGUCCCGCAACGAGCGCAACCCUUAUUGUUAGUUGCCAUCAUUAAGUUGGGCACUCUAGCGAGACUGCCCGGGUUAACCGGGAGGAAGGUGGGGAGGACGUCAAAUCAUCAUGCCCCUUAUGUCUAGGGCUACACACGUGCUACAAUGGUCGGUACAAUAAGACGCAAGCCCGCGAGGGGGAGCAAAACUGGAAAACCGAUCUCAGUUCGGAUUGUAGGCUGAAACUCGCCUACAUGAAGCUGGAGUUGCUAGUAAUCGCGAAUCAGCAUGUCG